GCCGCGGUGACCCAACCGGUAGAGGUACCCGGCUCAAACCCGGGGUCUGCGGGUUCAACUCCCGCCCGCGGUA
rnacentral:tRNA from 1 species